rnacentral:rRNA from 1 species
AUUGAACGCUGGCGGCAUGCCUUACACAUGCAAGUCGAACGGCAGCACGGGAGCAAUCCUGGUGGCGAGUGGCGAACGGGUGAGUAAUAUAUCGGAACGUGCCCAGUCGUGGGGGAUAACGUAGCGAAAGCUACGCUAAUACCGCAUACGAUCUAUGGAUGAAAGCGGGGGAUCGCAAGACCUCGCGCGAUUGGAGCGGCCGAUAUCAGAUUAGGUAGUUGGUGAGGUAAAGGCUCACCAAGCCGACGAUCUGUAGCUGGUCUGAGAGGACGACCAGCCACACUGGGACUGAGACACGGCCCAGACUCCUACGGGAGGCAGCAGUGGGGAAUUUUGGACAAUGGGCGCAAGCCUGAUCCAGCAAUGCCGCGU